rnacentral:tRNA from 1 species
UCCCUGCUGGCUCAGAGGCUAAAGCAUCUGCCUCCGACAUGGGAGACCCAGGUUCGAUCCCUGGGUCGGGAA